CACACGACUCUCGGCAACGGAUAUCUAGGCUCUCGCAUCGAUGAAGAACGUAGCAAACUGCGAUACUUGGUGUGAAUUGCAGAAUCCCGUGAACCAUCGAGUCUUUGAACGCAAGUUGCGCCCGAAGCCACUAGGCCGAGGGCACGUCUGCCUGGGCGUCACGC
rnacentral:rRNA from 1 species